AUGGCUGAGCGGUAAAGUGCUUGUCUUUCGAAUAUGUGGUCCCGGGUUCGAAUCCUGGU
rnacentral:tRNA from 1 species